GACGAACGCUGGCGGCGUGCUUAACACAUGCAAGUCGAGCGGUGCGGCGAACGGGUGAGCAACGCGUGAGUAACUGCCCCCCUCCCUGGGAUAACAGUUGGAAACGGCUGCUAAUACCGGAUAGUGGGGGAUGACUCGCGGCCUAUCAGCUUGAUGGUGGGGUAGUGGCUUACCGAGGCGACGACGGGUAGCCGGCCUGGGAGGGGGACCGGCCACAGUGGGCUGGGGUAGGGCCCAAGCGGCUACGGGGGGAAGGGGUGGAGAAUAUGGCACAAUGGGGGAAACGCGGGUUCAGCGACGCCGCGUGCGGGAGGUCGGCCUUCGGGGUGUAAACCGCUUUCAGCCAUGACGCGGUAGUGGCAGAAGAAGCACCGGCUAACUACGUGCCAGCAGCCGCGGUAAUAC
rnacentral:rRNA from 1 species